rnacentral:lncRNA from 1 species
AUGGUGGAAUUAAUGAUGGGUCGGGCGUUGCAGUGGGCACAAGCAGUUUUGAAUGUUCAACAUAACAUCUCUUAUCAGGAUUUCUUGAGCAAAUUCCAUUGUGUUUUUGACAAGGGGUCAAACCCGGACUGUGCGGCUAAUCGUUUUUUUACCCUGAAGCAGGGACGGAGGAGUGUGGUGGAUCUCUCUGUGGAUUUCUGGAUCCUGGCCGAGGAGGCGGCAUGGGCGGAGAUUGGGCUUCGGGGAGGCUUCCUGAACUGUCUGAAUGAAAAAAUUAAACAGUUUGGGAGACGAUCUGGAGAGGGACGGCGGGUGGCAGGGGGCGCUAGCGCUCUGAUGGGAUUACCUUCUGCUGAGUGGAGAGAAGAAGAUGAUAAAGAGCCAGUGGAGGAGGAGGAGCAGCCGAUGCAACUUGGAUGGGCACGGUUCAGUGCCGCUAGCUGGAGAAGACUGUGCACGGCAUGUGGAUUAAAAUGCUACACAUGUGCAGCUGCAGAUCCUAAAUCCUGCACAGACACCACAUCUUGUGCAUUCAUCUUCAACCGUUGUUUCUCUGGCAGAGUAGAUGGUCUUAAUGUAGUUACAAAGGGCUGCCUAAACAGUGUAGCAUGUGUUUGGCCUAUGUCUUGCUGUGAAGGGGACCUGUGUAACAGCACUAUUCCAACUGGUCCCAGUGCCAUCCUGCUGCUGGUAUCUUCAGCCAUCCUCAAAUUUCUUUUCUGA